rnacentral:lncRNA from 1 species
UAUAAGCUAACAUUGUUGAAGCUAUUAGUAAAUGGGAUUUAAAGGUAGAACUAUCUUAAAGAGAACUAAGUGUUGUAGAAUAUAAUUGGUCCAAUCCAAUGUUCUCCAAACUUGUCAAAGCAUAAGAAUCUCCUCAGGGUGCUUGUUAAAAUAUAGAUUCUCAGGCACCACCCAGAUUUGCGGAACCAGAUCUGCAGAGGAGGGGCCUGGGAGUCUUUCAAGGUAGGUAGGGUGAUGACAUACUCUGGAUUUUGUGUGCCUUGGUUUCAGAUAUUCUACCUGAUAGAUUUCAGAUGUGUGUUUAUACUUGUCAGUUUAUAUCCCAACUUUUAGACGGAAAAUAUGGUCGCCAUUUAUAUAGGCCAUCUUAUUUAGAAUCUUCUCUCUUGAUUAGAGAGGUAUAACAUGCUUCUGGGUUCCCAGGAACAUGAGAGGAUGUGUAGCUACAAAACAGCAUAGUGUUGGUAUAAGUUACCCAGCUUUCUUGGCCUUCUUUCUUUCUAAGACCUUUACCAUCUUAGUAACCUGCUCCGUGAAAUAUAUGCAGCGAUAUGGUCAACAUAUCUUGACAACCCUGUGUCCUCCUGAGUCUCUGAGGCCUCUGUUCCCUCAGCCUGUCAGAGUGACAGUGAGUGUGGAAGCCGUGUCUGCACGCUGGGGCGACCCCAGGCUUUGUUCAUCGGAGGCCGAGCCCGCAGAGCUGUUGUUUCCCCCUGUGAGGGCUGGAACCAGGAAGGAACGUUUCACUUCACUGCACUUAGGACAGCGUGUUUUUAAUCAACUGUUCUGGAAAAACAGCAUUUUGUUGUUUUCACACAAGCCGGCGAGUUCAUUUCCCCUGUCUGGGCCAGGCAGUAACUAAUCAUUUCCCUAUCCGUGGCAGAGGGAGAUGAGCCCUGGCUCCUAAAACUUUUACUCCGAGGGCUGAGCUUUCUGUAGACGUUACAAAUGGAGUUCACACCUCUUGGAGGAAUCCAGGAUCUCGUUUUCAAUUGGAAGGAAGAUCAAUGAAGAAAAAUAACAACAUGAUUCCGGUACACCAUUGAGUUCUUUGGGAUGCACAAAAGUGUCUGGUUGGGAAACAUGAAAUAGAAGACAAGACCGCCUCAGGAAGUGUACAUGAGAAUAACUUUAAAGGAACCUAUCGAUUAAUGCAAAACAAUAGCUGUUGGAGGUAUGUAACGUUGUAGAGCUUGGACUGAACCUAGUGUGGCCCACUCUGCUGUACGAAGUCAAGAGGAGCCAUUCUCUGGGAAUGGAGGCUGUUCUUAGGGCAAACCUCACCUUCUGGCCUCAAAUACACUAAUGGCUGUUUUCUCUAAACUUGACUGUGUAGUGGGAUGUCACUUUUAAUUCUUUCUUGAGCAUCUCUGCUCAGCCCCUCCAGAGUCUUUCCUGUUGCCUGAAGGACAAUAAAGACAACAGAGACAACAUUGACUCUGGGCAGAUGAAAGUGAUAACAAAUUUCUAGCCUCGAGACUCAUUUCCUUCUUUUCUGGGAAGGGGCCUGUCAGCAUCAAAGCUCAGUCAAUGUGUGUCCUUUGAAUCAUCUGUUAUUUAUUUGCCUUGCUCUUACCCUGAGUGACAUCAAGGCUACUUCUGAUUGGGUGGUGGCUGCAUGUGAUCGAUUGGUUCCCUGUUAAUCAUUAACUUGGACCUGCUUGUCUCCUUGACUCCUCUCCAAGGUACAGUGUUAAAUGAUUACUUCAUUUUCUUGCUAUAACCCUUAAUCCUUAUCUCCUCAACAGUGUUUAUUGUCAAGGCCAGGGUCACCUGUUAUUUUAUGUUCUGGGACCUUCAGUGGAUGUCUGGCUUUUGGUGCUCUAGCUCUUAUCUUAGGGCAUAGCCUGUGUCGUGUUAUAUGUCACCUUGAUCCUUUGGGUUUUGUUUUUUGGGUUUUUUUUUCCGUCUACCAAUAUAGAACACUAUUGAUGUAACCUGUGCCAAGUAUUUUAUGUCUUUAGUCAUCACACUAUCGUGAGAACAUUAAACAAGUCCCAUUUUCUAGAUGACGAUACUGAGGUUCCAAGUGGUUAAAUAACUGGCCUGCUAUUUCCUAGAGAGUAAAUGGCAGAAAUGGGAUUCAGCACUAGGCCUGUCUGUCUCAUCCUGGGCACUAUAGGAAGAGUAUAACAUGCUAUCACCCCUUUUUGAAGCAGGGUUUUAAAAAUAUCCUAAUGCUCAUGGAAUUUUAAUCUUCUGCUC